UUUUCAAAGGUAGUCCGUGACAUUUACAUCAAAUAUUCGAAAAGUAGUGGUUUUUCCGUGACUUUCUUGCAGAUCUGGUUUAGCCGCACAAGUUUUUCAUAUACCAUAUUCUCAGGUUCAGCUUCUAAAAUGAGCUGCAGGUGAUUGAAUUUAUAUAUAACGAAAUGAAUUUUUCAGCACUGCCAGGGCCCAUAUAGCCGAGGCGGUAAACGCACGGGUAUUCAGCAUGACCAUGCUGAGGGUGACGGGUUCGAUUCCCGGUCGGUCCAGGAUCUUUUCGUAAAGGAAAUUUCCUUGACUUCCUUGGGCAUAGAGUAUCUUCGUGCCUGCCACACGAUAUACGCAUGCAAAAUGGUCAUUGGCAGAGGAAGCUCUCAGUUAAUAACUGUGGAAGUGCUCAUAGAACACUAAGCUGAGAAGCAGGCUUUGUCCCAAUGAGGACGUUACGCCAAGAAGAAGAAGAAGAAGAAGGCACUAAUAGGUCUUACUAAAGUUAUUUCGAGAUAGGAAGUAGAAAAUCUUUAGAUAUCAAAACCGAGGUCAAAACUAAAAUGCAAUGAUGUGAAAAAUUUAUUUUUUUUCGAGAAAAAUCGAAAAAGUGCCAAAUUAUCACAUUUGUUUUUAACGUUCAAAAAGUGCAUAUCCUUCAAAGACUUUUGAAGCAUAAUUAAUUAUAUUAUUGAUAAGCGUUCAAAGUUUCAUUCGAUUCGGCUCAUUGGUUACGUAGCUAUGGCAUUUCAAUAAAUAGUGUUUUACGAGAACAGUUCUACACACUUAAAACUGAUUCUCGAGCUCGACAGAAAAAAAUGCUGAUUUCUAACGGCAACUCAAGAUUUUGCUGAUAUCUCAGCAAACAAAACGUUUUUGCCGAGGUUUCCCAAAAUAAUUUACCGAACUAUCAGCAAUUUAUUUGAAAACUAUGAAAACUGACAGCAUUUUUUGCUGAGUACAUCGGUAAACACAGAUUUUGCCGAAAUCAGCAAACAAGAUUACCGAGAUCUCAGUAUUCAUAUGCCAUCCUUUGUCGAAAUACAAACGUCACUUUAGCAGCCGGCACGUCGCAGCAAAAAAAAACAUACAAAAUAAAUCAGUGCUACAAGGCGUUGAAGAGAUCCUAAAUUACGAAUAUUACGCUGAAUGCUAAAGAAAAAAUGGCGGCCACACAAACUUGACACAACCGCGAUCGAGGAGCUGUUCAAUUUAACCUGACUGGAAGAGAAAACAACGAGAAAAGUGUGAUGCCGAAUUUACUAACUUUUCGUUAUAUUUAUUUAUAUGGAUGAAUAUAAACAAAUAUGUUCGUAGUAA